GGUCGGAUGGUGCAGUUGGUCAUCACGUCAGUCUAACACACUGAAGGUUCCCAGUUCAAGCCCGGGUUCGACCA
rnacentral:tRNA from 1 species